GCAUGUUAACCAUAGUCAACUGCACUCAUAUGGCCAAGUCCUCAGUGUGUGUGAGGCAACUCUGAAAUGUUAUAUUCCAUUUCUUUAUUUCCUUCUGUCAGUGGUUGCUUUAUUAGACAUAGGCAGCUGGGAGAGCAUAUGUUUCUUUGAAAGAAACCUUUAAAACUCAGAGAUCACAUUUUCAAAAUGCACCAGGGUAAGUUUUAGUUCUUAUAACAUAUCUGGAAAGAUUCAAAAGUCAACAAGCAAGAAGCCUCAUUCCACUCUUAAAGACACAUCAAAUUAAGAAUAAAACCAAGGGCUGUUUUCAUUACCUUUUACACUUUCACACAAAUCAUUUUAAUUAAUCAAUGGCGCUGUAUUUUCUCAUUUAAAAUGAAAUUAAUUUUAUUUGUCAUGCUUGUAUUUGACUUGCCGAGGUACCUUUUGACAGGACAUUGUCAUCUACCAAUGGGUUGGGCUCAUUUUUAGCUGUCCUGAAAUGUAUUCAGCCUGUAAGCCAUAAGUUACACAUCCAGUAAGAGCAUGCACUUUCAGAAUACAUGAAGAAUAAAAAGAAUAAAAGCAUAUUGAAAAAGGUUGAAGGCAACGCAUGGGAGCCAAAUAGGGUUUGCUAGGCAUCCUUAUGUCUACACAUCACACACUUCCUGUUUAAUCUUCACAACCUGCUCAGUAGAAUGUAGAGAGUAUCCUUAAAGAAAUUGUACCAAGGCCCUGGGAAAUUUAAUGCUUUGCUUAAAUUGUAAUAGGAAAUGACGUGAAAGUAAAUUACACAGCUUGGCCAGCAAGACCUAUUGAUUACACUUCCCAGUGGACACAGGCUAACCACUUCAUCUUAUGGCCACCAGUUAUUGCCUGGACUGUUUUGCAAUGGUGCAUAUCCAUGAGAGAAAGGACAACAGCAGCUAUUUUUUUCUUCUGAGAAUUUGGGGAAGAUAAAGCAUGAGCAAGAUGCUGUCAGUACGAAAGCCUGGGUGUGCCACUGUAUAAAAUAAAGAAAAAGUGAGGUUGGGAAACAUCUCAUUGGAAGAUUUUAACACAGAGCCCCAGUAUAGGUGACACAAGUUAGGACUGGAGAACAAGCCAUAUAGAAAAAGAACUUGAGAACUUUCAACCCAGGGAGGAAGUCUGUGGUAAUCUGUAGGUAUCAAUACAGAGAUAGAAAUAUGGAACACGAACACAGUUUGUCUUGAUAGACUUGGUAAGAAUAUUAAAAAUUCCAUCUUAUUCUUUCAUUUGGUUUCAUCAUGUAGGCAAUUUGGGGAUUUCGAGGCACUGUCUCACUCUAUAGUGCAGGUUGACUUUGACCUCUUGGUCUUCCUUCCUUAUACCUGCUGGACUACUCCUUAAUCACUGAGAAACAUCCUCAGUUUUGUAAGAAUCUUAGAAACUCAAGUCUGGGGAACAGAAAAAUAGACUUAAGACCAUGGGAGGUAAGCCAAGGAAAACAAGUUUUAUUACAGAAAGUCAUUCCAAGGGAAGAACUGCAUUAUUAAACACAGCCUGAGCUCGAGAUAAGAAACAAGA